UAGAGGGAACGAACAAGAGUGCUGCAAAUUGAAGCCGGAGGAAACGAAGUUGAUCGAAGUGGAAAAAGACGAUAUAUAAAAAGGUAAGUUUUGUUUUGAUACAAAGAGCGUCAUAUUUACCCAGCUAGCGUUAGCUUGUUUGGUGAAAGAGCUUGCAAGUCAAGAGACAGCACUGUCUGUGCACCUAAAUGUAACUCUUGACAUUAUAUAGAUUAGAUAUAUUAUAGGUGCAGAGAGGAGUUGGUUUAUUGUGCUUCAAUGUAAAUCCUAAUGUGAGAGUUAAAGGACGGUCAACAAUAUAAUGUACCUUGGUCAGUUUGGAUUUAUCGUGGCAUUUAUUCUUAAUUAAAGUGAAUUUAUUUUUAUUUCAGUCAGUCAUUUGUUUGUAUGCAGGUGUGGGACAUUCCAAAUGUUCCAAAAGUGAGCACUCCACGAAUGGACAACAGUUUGCAGGACCUCUCAGUCACCCACAACCAGCGUCUGAUCGGGAUGGAGCACCAACCCCAUUCCAGGAAGAGGUCCAGUCUUCCCCGGGUCAGAACCACUUCUAUAGGUAAACCAUGUUGACAGUUGCAUCGUGACACAGUUGUUUGCUGUGUAUCUUUAUUUUACAUUUGUUUGUUUGUAUAGCCUCCAAUCACAGUGGGUAACAUUGCCAGGAAGCAGAACAAUUAUACUUUUAUACAUUUCCAAAUGACACCCACAACAUCUGACAUCUUAGUGAA